rnacentral:rRNA from 1 species
GACGAACGCUGGCGGCGUGCUUGAUACAUGCAAGUCAAGGAGAACAUUAUCUUCGGAUAAUAAGUAAACUGGCGAACGGGUGAGUAACGCGUAAAUAACUUGCCUCAGAGAUUGGGACAACAUUGGGAAACCAGUGCUAAUACCAAAUAAUGCAGCGGGCUCUUCGGAGCAUUGUUGUUAAAGUAGGCUUCGGCUUACACUUUGAGAUAGGUUUGCGUCCGAUUAGUUUGUUGGUGGGGUAAUUGCCUACCAAGACUAAGAUCGGUAGCUGGUCUGAGAGGAUGAUCAGCCACACUGGAAUUGAGAUACGGUCCAGACUCCUACGGGAGGCAGCAGUAAGGAAUUUUGCACAAUGGGCGAAAGCCUGAUGCAGCAACGCCGCGUGAACGAUGAAGUUUUUAGGAAUGUAAAGUUCUGUCGUAUGGGAAGAGAUCUUUCGAAUGUUAAUACCAUUCGUUAAUGACGGUACCAUACAAGAAAGCACCGGCUAACUUCGUG